CCAAUUAGAUUGUCAGAAGGAGCAUUUUAUUAUUAAGGUCUGAGAAGACAUGUUUGAGGUGUUUCUUUUGUGUUUUAAAAUCGUUGUGAUUAAACUUUUUUUUUUUUUUGUAACAUUUCAUGUUAUUUCAUUUUUAGGUUGAAGUUAAAUAUGGAAAAUGAUCAACAACUAAGAUGAGUGUCAAAACCAGAAAUCAUAAUGGAAAUGGUUUUGCUACCUUUACGGAGGCAGUCUAUAAUGAUAACAUUUUAAAAAGCUAGAAUACAUAUUUCAUACACACAAAGCUGUCACUAUUUCACGAACUACAGAAGUCCUUCAUGAUGAACAUGAUGCUCUGUGUUCAAAUGUAUUUCACUGACUACUUAUGUACUGGUGACCAGCUACCAGAAAGAUGGACAGAAGAUGGGAGAUGUUUGUGGCUCAAGUAAUUACUAGUAAAUCCACCUGUAGCGAGACGUGCGCUUGUGGGAGGGAGCACGAUUUCUGCGAGGUCCUGGGGACAAAUCCCAGGCAAUGUAUCCCACUGAUGGUCCUGCUCCCCCCUCGGCGCAUGACACAGUGGCUGGACUUUGCUGCUGUGAAGUGCAGACCUGACAUCUCCUCCUACUUCUGGUGACAAGUCACUUGGGAACAUGUGGCCCUCGACACGUGUGGUGGCCAGCGUAGGACAGCCAUAUUGCGAAGGCAGGGGGCUGCCCUUUUAAGUGCACAGGCUUAUUUCUUUAGCACCUUCUGCACAUGUAAGCUUCUCUGUGGCAGCUGCCCUCUGGAGACUUGUUUCAAUUCUCUCCCACUACUCUGGUCCUUUAUGACAUCUGGGGGGGUCUCUGAAGCUAUCAACUGAUCUCUCUCUUGUUCCUGUCUGCGAUUUCCCCAAGUAUUAUCUCAGUGUCCAGAUGGAAUGGUAACCCUCCAAGUCAGGGCUCAACAAGAAACACGCGUCCCUGCACAUGCCCCAGAGAGCGACUAGAAUUACUGUCAUUGCUUUGUAAUCUUCCAGCUGUGGCAGGCUCUGCAGGUCGUUCACACAAUCGAGUAUCAACCACGCUGUUUGCUGAAGGAUGCCCGCAUCCAGGAAACUCAGGACCCACGCAGUGACUGACCCUCGCUUCCCGCUCUUGCUCAGUUACGUGAAUGUGAAUGGUGCAUGCUCCUUUCUGCCAAGCUUGGCCAACCUCAUUACCGUGGCACCCAGGGGACAAUUAAACCAGGUUCUCGGCUCCUGCUGGCCUCCACAGCAUUGCUUUGGGUCGCUCCAGAGACCACCGCAGCCUGCCCUGAGCCUCCUGAAAGCUUCUUCCCAGAUGAAAAUGUGAGAAGGAUGGUGAUAAACUUCAGCAAAGCCAGCAGAGGUUGGGACAGGUUGCCCAGAGAGGCUGCGGAUCCGCUAUCCCCGGAGGUGUUCAGCACCCAACUUGUAAAAGCCCUGAGCACCGUGAUGUGAAUUCAGUGCAACCUUGCUUUAGGCAAAAACCUGGACUAGAGAUCUCCUGUAGGCCCUCCAGCCACAGUGAGUUUGUGAUUCCUUUAUUUUGUACAAGCUAUGAUUCUGUAUGUAUCGCAAGCGCUAUCUCACUAAUGUUAAUUAGCAGAUGUGCUUUUGUAAUUGAAAUGUGCUUUGAGAAAAGAUUUGUCUCCAAUCUACAAAAGGUGCAUAGGAAUUGAUGAAUUUAAAACAACAGAAUCAAUCAGAAAUGGUGAGAGUAGAUAGCCAUGAAUAGAUGGCAUCAUUUGGAGGGG